AUUGAACGCUGGCGGCAUGCCUUACACAUGCAAGUCGAACGGCAGCGCGCCUUCGGGAUGGCGGCGAGUGGCGAACGGGUGAGUAAUAUAUCGGAACGUGCCCAGUCGUGGGGGAUAACGUAGCGAAAGCUACGCUAAUACCGCAUACGAUCUACGGAUGAAAGCGGGGGAUCGCAAGACCUCGCGCGAAUGGAGCGGCCGAUGUCAGAUUAGGUAGUUGGUGGGGUAAAGGCUCACCAAGCCAACGAUCUGUAGCUGGUCUGAGAGGACGACCAGCCACACUGGAACUGAGACACGGUCCAGACUCCUACGGGAGGCAGCAGUGGGGAAUUUUGGACAAUGGGCGCAAGCCUGAUCCAGCCAUUCCGCGUGCAGGAUGAAGGCCUUCGGGUUGUAAACUGCUUUUGUACGGAACGAAAAGGUCCUGGUUAAUACCUGGGGCUCAUGACGGUACCGUAAGAAUAAGCACCGGCUAACUACGUG
rnacentral:rRNA from 1 species